CUCAUUUGAAGCUGGGAAUCAGAAAUUCCAAACUGCUGUCCUUGUGGAGCUAAGAGUACUUCAAACAAUUUUUGUUUUUUUCAAUUUUAGGUAUGAAUAGGUGCUAUAAAGGAGAUAAAAGAGGGUAUUGGUGUAGCAUGUAGACAUAGCCUCUCUGAGAAGGUAACAUCUGGGUUCUGGGUUGACAUUUGAAUUUUGGGAAGGACAGAGCCAUAGGAAGAGCUGGGGAAGAAGCUCUUCAGCAGAAGGAAUAAUAAGUGCAAGUAAUGGGAAGGAGCUCGGUAAAUUGAAAGGACAGACAAAAAAGUCAGGGUGGCUGGAGAAAAGCAAAUGAGGCAUAAAGUUAAAGGAAAUGAGAUCACACUGGUAGCCAAGAACCAGAUGGUGUAGAGCCUUAUUGACCAUAAAAAAAAGACAGUGGAAGAGAUAAUUUGAUAAAUAACUUUAACAGUGGGAAAAUACCUACACGAAAGACCAUACCAAUCACAUAAACAAUGGCCUAUAUUCCAACACAAUGCUUUUGAAUUUUUUAUUUUACUUUAGUUUUUGGCAAGGGGGAGACAGAGGUGGAACUGUUCCUUGGGGCCCAUGUUAGAAUUGCCUGGGAGAGGGGUUCAUUCGAGCUGUGUGGCACACAUUGUCCCUCUUCCCCAUAGGUGCAAUUCUCCUACACUCCACUAGGGAUGUGACCCUCUACCCAUAAGUGAGCGACUACUGCUAUGAGAGGGGGCCACAUCCAGUGGUAGUGAAAACCAGUGAUGGGGGCCAGCCCCAUGGCCGAGUGGUUAAGUUCAUGCACUCUGCUUCAGCGGCCCAGGGUUUCACCAGUUCAUAUCCCAGGUGCGGACAUGGCACCACUCAUCAAGCCAUGCUGAGGUGGCGUCCCACAUAGCACAACCAGAAGGACCUACAACUAGCAUAUACAACUAUGUACUGGGGGUCUUCGGGGAGAAGAAGAAGAAAAGAAAAAAGAAAACCAAGAAUAUGCACCCUCAGGAUUUUCAGGUCUCUACCUGCAGUCCAGUUCUUUCAUCCUAAACUUCAAACAUUUGUACCCUCUAAAUAUCUCUAUCAGGUUGUCCCGUAGCGCCUCAAACACAACAUGAUCAAAACUGACUCAUCUGGGGCCGGCCCGGUGGCGCAGCAGUUAAGUGUGCAUGUUCCAAUUUGGAUCCCAGGUGCAGACAUGGCACCACUUGGCAAGCCAUGCUGUGGUAGGCGUCCCACAUAUAAAGUAGAGGAAGAUGGGGAUGGAUGUUAGCUCAGGGCGAGUCUUCCUCGGCACAAAGAGGAUUAUUGGCAGCAGAUGUUAGCUCAGGGCUAAUCUUCCUCAAAAAAAACCUGACUCAUCUUUGUUUAAAAACAGACUGGUAUCUCCUCCUAUAAUCUCUGUGCCAAUUGGUAUCAACAGACAGUGGUUGAGGCUGGAUCAUCUCAUGGUUUCUUCUCUCACAUAUCUGUUGCCUAGUCUGGGAUUGCCAGAAUAGCUGGGUGGGAGGCAGUCAGGUCUCUUUAUUCCCUUGUGGCUACCUUGGCCUUCACAGCAUGUUGAAGGGUUGCAGGUUGGUUGGCAGCUGGUUUCUCCCUGAGUGUGUGUUCCAAAAGACAGGAAGCGGAAGCUGCCAGUCCAUUAAGGCCUGGACCUGAUAAUAGUCACAGUACCACUUUUUCCAUAUCCUGCUCAAAGCAGUUUCUGAGCUCACCCAGAUUCAAGGGCAGGAGUCACAGACUCACCUCUCAGUGGGAGGAAGGUUGAUAAAUUUGUGGCCAUGUUCUGUCCACAAUAUAUAAAAAAUACACACACACAGUGUCUGGUACAUACUAAAUUAUAAUCUUUCAGAUAGAAUCUAGUAUAAUAGUAACUGAAUGCUAUCCUAAUUACCUCCUCGUGAUGUUCUCCAAUUUUGUCAUAAACUUAGUGGAAGAUAGGAUCAGCAAAUGUGGGGGGAAAACAGGGAAAAAGUGACCAAUAUAAGCAUUGAAAACAAACAUUAACUUCCCUGUCAGAGGCAUGAGUCACCCUCCAUUUUUUGGGCACUGUGGGACUGCAGGAAGUUACUGUCAUAAUUCUUGCAAUGCAACCAUUGUGAAGUCACACAGAAUAGAGGGUGACCAGGAAGACUCAUCUCAUUGCCAAUACAGGGUGUUCUAAGUGCUGUUGUGUUAAAAGGUGGCACCAUCAGCAGGGAACAGGAUACACUAAUGUGACAGUGAGUCACCGACUGAAAUCAUGACUUCUCAGGUUCUGAUGCCUGCCAAGCUGGGAGCAAUAAACUUUGUCCCAGUGUCUCAUCCCCUCCACGGAAAGAUCAAAGAAGUUUCAUCUGGGGGCAUAUAUUAGGACAGGAGAGAACUUGGUGCCUCAACUAUUUUUAUAUUAGAGUAAUAUUUGAUUCUUUUUAAGGGCAAGAGGGAUCCACAAUUUUUCUUGAAAUAUAUUAAGAGGAAAAAGUGAAAAUGAGCCAACCUAAGCAAGUAGCAUAUUAGAUUUGGAGACAAUUCAUUAUGACCAAGUUGGGUUUAUCCCAAGUAAGUAAGGCUAGUAGACAUUAGAAAAUAUAAUUGAUGCAAUUCAUCACAUUAAUAUAUUGUGGUAGCCUGUCUCUAAAGAUGGCCUCUUGGCAUUCUAUCCUUGUGUAGUCCCUCUGGCUCUGAAUCUGGGCUGGUCUGUGACUUACUUUAAACUAACUGAAUGUGGCAGAAGUGAUGCUAUGCCAAUUCCAGGAAUAUACCUUAAGAAGGCCUGGCAGUUCCUGCUUUGCACUUUGGGCCGCCAUGUGAGAACCCAGCUGCCCAUGUAAGAACUCAGCUACCCAGCUGGAGAGACUUUGUAGAGACUACAUGUAGAGGCCACAGAGAGAGAAAAAGACCCUGAGGCUACGUGGAGAAAGACAGGUCCAGCCAUCCCAGCAUCCCAGCCGCACUGGGACUUCCAGCCAUCUCCACCAAGGUGCUAGACAUGUAAUGAGCAUCUGGGACAUUCCAAAGUCCAAGAUGAGCUUCCAGAUGACUCCAGCCCCUGGUACCAUUUCACUGCAACUACCUGAGAGCACCAAAACAAGAGCAGCAGAAGAACCGCCUUGCUGAACCCUCCCAACCCACAGAGGAAGAGAUGGAUGAAAUGCAUCCUCACACACAGAACCACAGAAGGGAGUUCGUGCAGCCUCCCGCAGUGAUAUCAUGGAAGAAUAUUUCACGGCAUCUAAAGACAACUAAGGUGUAUAGUAAGGUGGGAAAAGUUGCUUAUAAUACAUUAUGCACAAAUGUUCCAGUGUUUUAAAAUAAACUGCAAAUAUUUAAGCACAGAAGACAACUGGGAGAAAUACAUUAUAAUGAGAACUAUGAUUCUGUUUGAGUGGUGGUUUUAUGAGUGAUUUUUGUUUUCUUCGAUUUGCUCAUUUGUAUAGUUUCAAUUUUGAGCCAUGAAUGUGGAUUCCUUUUUGCGUGUGAGGAAGAUUCACCCUGAGCUAAAAUCCGUUGCCAAGCCUCCUCUUUUUUUUUUUUGCUUGAGGAAGAUUAUUGCUGAGCUAACAUCUGAGCCAAACUCCCUCUACUUUGUGUGUGGGAUGCCUCUACAGCGUAGCUGAUGAGUGGAAUAGGUCCACACCGGGAUCCAAACCCAGGAACCCUGGGCUGCUGAAGCGGAGCACACAAAACUAACCGCUCUGCCACGGGGCUGGUCCCCCUGGAUUACUUUUUAAGGAAAUAAAAAGGAGACAAUACAUUCCAGUGGGAAAACAACAACAAUGACAACAAAAGCCUAGAGAUCUCAAAACGAGAAUAAGAAACCUGGUAUUAGCUAGUAGGUCUAUUUAGAAAACGCCUGGAUUCCUAUCAGAUCCCAUCAGUCCAUUGGACUAUAACUUUUCCCUGCCAGUUACCUUUUUCCGACCUGCUGCCCUUUUCCCGCAGUCCUAGCUCUGAUAGUAAAAUCAAAUUCUCGCUGUCUGCUUUGGGAGCAAGUAGGGCAGUGGGAGGCAAGGUGAUCCUCUGAGAACAGCCUGCUCCUGAUUAAAAGGAAGUGAAAAUCCUCCAAAUGUUGCAGGGAGAGUUGAUAGAUCAUCCUUCAGUUCUCCUCCAUCUGGUCCACUGCCUCUUAUGGAAACCAAGACAGGAAAAAUGAAGUGACCCCAACACAGGAAAUGAGGGUAGUCAUUCGGAUAACAUAGCACCAGCUCCCCGUAAAAUGUUUAGGGUGGGGUGGGCAGUGAAACAAAGGGCACCAGUCAUAGUGCUCAUAACUGACUUCACACUGGGUAGGUAGGUACCUGAAGACACCAAAUGAUGGGUGAGUGCAGAGGUCUCCACAGUCAGUACACAAAUAUUCCCAAUAACCAGGGUGGGUUCACCCUGUACAUACCUAUUAGCUCAUCAGAAUGGAAUUCCCAACUGGUAAGCUGCGGUACAGUGGGUUUCCCCAUGCUAUUGAUCUCCUCAGCCCCUGGCGCUGUGGCCUUCCGUCUGGGCCAGCACUUCAUAAAUUUAUAGAAGAGAAGAAUUCACAGAAUAUUUUAUGGAUGGUAAAGAUAGUCAAAAAAUAUCAAGUGGAAAAAAAUGUUACUGAUCCAUUAUGUAUAUGUGUGGCACACAACUGCUAUAAUUUUUAUUAUACUUGUCUAUGGGUGUCAUGACAUACAAAAGAUUGGAAAGUAUUGGAGGUAUAGGUCAUCCUCGCAUUAAAUAAAGUCUGAAGAAAAGAAGGGCUGGGGAGUGGGAGUGGGAGAGUGGCUUGCAG
rnacentral:lncRNA from 1 species